rnacentral:rRNA from 1 species
GACAGAAGCCUCGGUGGAAGAUUACUAAUGAGAGUGGCGAACGGGUGAGUAACGCGUGAGCAACCUGCCUAUGACAGUGGGAUAGCCUCGGGAAACCGGGAUUAAUACCGCAUAAAAUCGUAGAAACACAUGUUUUAACGGUCAAAGAUUUAUCGGUCAUAGAUGGGCUCGCGUCUGAUUAGCUAGUUGGUGAGAUAACAGCCCACCAAGGCGACGAUCAGUAGCCGGUCUGAGAGGAUGAACGGCCACAUUGGAACUGAGACACGGUCCAAACUCCUACGGGAGGCAGCAGUGGGGAAUAUUGCACAAUGGGGGAAACCCUGAUGCAGCGACGCCGCGUGAACGAAGAAGGUAUUCGUAUCGUAAAGUUCUGUCCUAUGGGAAGAUAAUGACAGUACCAUAGAAGAAAGCUCCGGCUAAAUACGUGCCAGCAGCCGCGGUAAUACGUAUGGAGCGAGCGUUGUCCGGAAUUAUUGGGCGUAAAGGGUACGCAGGCGGUUUAAUAAGUCGAAUGUUAAAGAUCGGGGCUCAACCCCGUAAAGCAUUGGAAACUGAUAAACUUGAGUAGUGGAGAGGAAAGUGGAAUUCCUAGUGUAGUGGUGAAAUAC